rnacentral:rRNA from 1 species
UACGGAGGGUGCGAGCGUUGUCCGGAAUCACUGGGCGUAAAGGGCGCGUAGGCGGCGCGGGGAGUCAACGGUGAAAGCUCGGCGCUCAACGCCGAGUCGGCCGUCGAUACUCCCGUGCUUGAGCACUGUAGAGGCAGGUGGAAUUCCGGGUGUAGCGGUGGAAUGCGUAGAGAUAUGGAAGAACACCAGUGGCGAAGGCGCUCUGCUGGGCCGAAACUGACACUGAGAGACGAAAGCCAGGGGAGCGAAUAGG